rnacentral:rRNA from 1 species
ACGGGGGGUGCAGCAGUGGGGAAUAUUGCACAAUGGGCGCAAGCCUGAUGCAGCCAUGCCGCGUGUAUGAAGAAGGCCUUCGGGUUGUAAAGUACUUUCAGCGGGGAGGAAGGGAGUAAAGUUAAUACCUUUGCUCAUUGACGUUACCCGCAGAAGAAGCACCGGCUAACUCCGUGCCAGCAGCCGCGGUAAUACGGAGGGUGCAAGCGUUAAUCGGAAUUACGGGGCGUAAAGCGCACGCAGGCGGUUUGUUAAGUCAGAUGUGAAAUCCCCGGGCUCAACCUGGGAACUGCAUCUGAUACUGGCAAGCUUGAGUCUCGUAGAGGGGGGUAGAAUUCCAGGUGUAGCGGUGAAAUGCGUAGAGAUCUGGAGGAAUACCGGUGGCGAAGGCGGCCCCCUGGACGAAGACUGACGCUCAGGUGCGAAAGCGUGGGGAGCAAACAGGAUUAGAUACCCUUGUAGUC